rnacentral:rRNA from 1 species
UACGUAGGGUGCAGGCGUUAAUCGGAAUUACUGGGCGUAAAGCGUGCGUAGGCGGCUAUGUAAGACAGAUGUGAAAUCCCUGGGCUUAACCUAGGAACUGCAUUUGUGACUGCAUUGCUAGAGUGUGGUAGAGGGAGAUGGAAUUCCGCAUGUAGCAGUGAAAUGCGUAGAUAUGCGGAGGAACACCAAUGGCGAAGGCAAUCUCCUGGACCUGCACUGACGCUCAUGCACGAAAGCGUGGGGAGCAAACAGG